AACGCUAGCUACAGGCUUAACACAUGCAAGUCGAGGGGCAGCAUGAUUGAAGCUUGCUUCAAUUGAUGGCGACCGGCGCACGGGUGAGUAACACGUAUCCAACCUGCCGAUAACUCGGGGAUAGCCUUUCGAAAGAAAGAUUAAUACCCGAUAGUAUAGUAUUUCCGCAUGGUUUCACUAUUAAAGAAUUUCGGUUAUCGAUGGGGAUGCGUUCCAUUAGAUAGUUGGCGGGGUAACGGCCCACCAAGUCAACGAUGGAUAGGGGUUCUGAGAGGAAGGUCCCCCACAUUGGAACUGAGACACGGUCCAAACUCCUACGGGAGGCAGCAGUGAGGAAUAUUGGUCAAUGGGCGAGAGUCUGAACCAGCCAAGUAGCGUGAAGGAUGACUGCCCUAUGGGUUGUAAACUUCUUUUAUACGGGAAUAAAGUGGAGUAUGCAUACUCCUUUGUAUGUACCGUAUGAAUAAGGAUCGGCUAACUCCGUGCCAGCAGCCGCGGUAAUACGGAGGAUCCGAGCGUUAUCCGGAUUUAUUGGGUUUAAAGGGAGCGUAGGCGGGUGCUUAAGUCAGUUGUGAAAGUUUGCGGCUCAACCGUAAAAUUGCAGUUGAUACUGGGCGCCUUGAGUGCAGCAUAGGUAGGCGGAAUUCGUGGUGUAGCGGUGAAAUGCUUAGAUAUCACGAAGAACUCCGAUUG
rnacentral:rRNA from 1 species